GGAAUCUUCCACAAUGGACGCAAGUCUGAUGGAGCAACGCCGCGUGAGUGAAGAAGGUUUUCGGACCGUAAAGCUCUGUUGUUGGUGAAGAAGGAUAGAGGUAGUAACUGGCCUUUAUUUGACGGUAAUCAACCAGAAAGUCACGGCUAACUACGUGCCAGCAGCCGCGGUAAUACGUAGGUGGCAAGCGUUGUCCGGAUUUAUUGGGCGUAAAGCGAGCGCAGGCGGAAGAAUAAGUCUGAUGUGAAAGCCCUCGGCUUAACCGAGGAAUUGCAUCGGAAACUGUUUUCUUGAGUGCAGAAGAGGAGAGUAGAACUCCAUGUGUAGCGGUGGAAUGCGUAGAUAUAUGGAAGAAUACCAGUGGCGAAGGCGGCUCUCUGGUCUGCAACUGACGCUGAGGCUCGAAAGCAUGGGUAGCGAACAGGAUUAGAUACCUUGGUAGUCCAUGCCGUAAACGAUGAGUGCUAAGUGUUGGGAGGCUUCCGCCUCUCAGUGCUGCAGCUAACGCAUUAAGCACUCCGCCUGGGGGAGUACGACCGCAAGGUUGAAAC
rnacentral:rRNA from 1 species